GAAACUUGUUUGCUUAUUUUAUAUUCUUUACUCCUUGUGGGUUUUAAAGGCAACUGGAAGGAGAAUUAUUUGAAUUAUCUAUUUAUUUAUAUAUAUAUAUAUUUAGCGAGUAUCGUGUUCUUGUUUGUGUGUGUGAGAUUUGUGAAUAAAAAGGCUGCUUGAGUCACUUCUCAAGCCGUUAAACUUCUCUCAAAAAAUAUAAAAAUGUUUUAAAAUAAUCCUGAAAUUCUCGUCGGCGUUGGCUUACUGAGCGAUGAAGAGUCGGUUCAACUGAUUCAGUUCAUUCAUUCAAACCAUCGAAGUAGGAUAAGCGGCUUUGGUAAUGAUUCUUUAAAUGAACCGAUUCAGAAUCCUCUUCUUGAAUCGUUUGAGUCGUUCUCACUCGGUCAGGGUUGCACGUGUGGGUUGCUUUUCCUGCACGUGUAAUCAGCACGUGUUCACAGACCGUAAAUCCCGACCCCAUGGUAGACACUCGACAGAAAUUUCAUACUAAAGUAUUUUAUAUUUUCUGGGUCUAAACAGAGCAGAAGUAUUGCUAAUGUGUUCUACAGAUUCUGUUGGACUGGUGAACUGUGUGGAUUUGUAUAUUUAACCCAGUUUAAUAUGGCCUGCUUUGUUCAGUCAGAGACAAGUAAAUCUGUUCUAAUGUUCAUUUAUUUUCCAUAGAUAAAACAAAUGUUUGCUUACACAUGAAUACGUACUUUAUGCCUUCAGAAUGGUGGAGAUUUGUCUCUUGACUAUUUUAAAUUUGGUUCUCUUCAACAGGUUGUGUUCGAGUUGUGCAGGCUUGUCACCUGACUUAAAGAAGGCAUUGUUUGAAGGGCUUGAUCAGCACCUCCCACAGCUCCUGCAGUUGUACAACACCGAGAGGCAGUGAAAUACCCGAAAUCCAACAUGUGAUGACCCGCAUUGAUCAAGAGACAGGAGCCUGUGGUUUCCUACUCUGAACGCUGUUCGAGCCAUGUCGACUUCAGGAGGCCCCACUCCAGCCUUCACCACCCUGUCAGUCACCCACCCAGCCAAUCACAUCACUCCUGUAGAGCUGCACCGACCAGAGAAACGCAACGCCAUGAACUAGGCCUACUGGAGGCACGGAUGCUGAUCACAGAGGAGAGCCUGAUGACCACGAUCGUCCGC